rnacentral:rRNA from 2 species
UACGGAGGGUGCGAGCGUUAAUCGGAAUCACUGGGCGUAAAGGGCGCGUAGGCGGCCGAUCAAGUCAGAUGUGAAAGCCCACGGCUCAACCGUGGAUGUGCAUCUGAAACUGGUUGGCUUGAGUAUCGGCGGGGGAGAUGGAAUUCCCGGUGUAGAGGUGAAAUUCGUAGAUAUCGGGAGGAAUACCGGUGGCGAAGGCGAUCUUCUGGACGAAUACUGACGCUGAGGCGCGAAAGCGUGGGGAGCAAAC